UUCCACCUGAGGAGCACAAAAGACCCCAGGAGUGGAGGAAGCUGGCCUGAGGCCAACCGGAUGUAGCAGACUUGCUGGGCCCAAGGAGGGAGGUCUGGUGAUGGAGCCUCAAGUACAUAUCCUUCCAAUCCUAAGAAAGAGGAUAGAUUGCCACAUGCCGGAACUGGAGUCUUGGCUUUCGAAAGCUCUUUUCCAUUACCUCUGCAGCAAGAAUGACGUCUUCUAAAGACUCAGGAUGGCCUCUAAUG
rnacentral:lncRNA from 1 species